UUAUCAGGAACCAGGCACAGGGACAGGAGCACACACCAUGAUUUCACACAUCCAGCUGAUCUGGCCCCUGGCAUUCUGUGUCGCAGGUAUCAGUGGGGACAUCACCAUGACCCAGUCUCCCCCGUUGCUGUCAGUCGGACUGGGCCAGACCGCAACCAUCACCUGUACGGCCAGUCAAUCUGUUAGCAAGUGGGUUAAAUGGUUCCAGCAGCGAGAAGGUCAGAAACCCUCUCUCCUGAUCUAUGAUGCAACAACUCGAUUCACAGGAGUCUCCAAUCGAUUCACUGGCAGUGGAUCAGGGACCAGUUUCACCCUGAAAAUCAGCAACGUUCAGAAUGAGGAUGUCGCUGACUAUUACUGUAUGCAGCAUAGCAGCUCCCCCUACACAGUGAUACAGAGCAAUACAAAAUCACCUCCUGUACUGACGCAUCCACAGUUAUAUAAAAUGCAUAAUAAUGGACACACAGUCCCACCGCCUGAACUGACAUAUCCCACAGUUAGAUACAAAUGAAACUGAACAAAUUACCCCAUGC